GUGCUUAUUUAGGCAGCACAGAAACUAAAAUUGGAAUACAGAGAUUAGUAUGGCCCCUACACAAGACUGACACGCAAAUUAAUUCAUGAAGCACUCGAUUUA
rnacentral:snRNA from 1 species